GAUCAUGGCUCAGGUUGAACGCUGGUGGCAUGCCUUACACAUGCAAGUCGAACGGUAACAGGUCUUCGGAUGCUGACGAGUGGCGAACGGGUGAGUAAUACAUCGGAACGUGCCCAGUCGUGGGGGAUAACGUAGCGAAAGUUACGCUAAUACCGCAUACGAUCUACGGAUGAAAGCGGGGGAUCGCAAGACCUCGCGCGAUUGGAGCGGCCGAUAUCAGAUUAGGUAGUUGGUGGGGUAAAGGCUCACCAAGCCAACGAUCUGUAGCUGGUCUGAGAGGACGACCAGCCACACUGGAACUGAGACACGGUCCAGACUCCUACGGGAGGCAGCAGUGGGGAAUUUUGGACAAUGGACGCAAGUCUGAUCCAGCCAUUCCGCGUGCAGGAUGAAGGCCCUCGGGUUGUAAACUGCUUUUGUACGGAACGAAAAGGUUUCUCUUAAUACGAGGAGCUCAUGACGGUACCGUAAGAAUAAGCACCGGCUAACUACGUG
rnacentral:rRNA from 1 species